rnacentral:rRNA from 1 species
AUGGGCGGCUACGAGAACGGUGACUCGCCGGCGGCCGCCGCCUGGGAGGGCGGCGUGAUCCUAGGCGUGGACGGAGGCACCACCAGCACCGUCUGCGUCUGCCUGCCGGCCGCAAUGCCACCACCGGAGGCGCCCGGCUCCGUCGCCGUGCUCUCCCGCGCCAUCGCCGGCUGCUCCAACCGUAAUUCCGUCGGAGAAAACGCUGCACUGGAAACUCUAGAACAGGUCAUGAUGCAGGCCCUCACAAUGGCCAACACAGAUCGUUCUGCUGUUGUUGCAGUUUGCUUAUCUGUAUCUGGGGUGAACCAUCCUUCAGAUCAGCAGAGGAUGCUGGACUGGAUCUGCAACCUAUUCCCUGGCAAUGCCAAGUUUUAUGUGGAAAAUGAUGCGGUGGCGGCUUUAGCCAGUGGUACAAUGGGAAAGCUACAUGGCUGUGUAUUGAUUGCUGGCACAGGAAGCAUUGCUUAUGGGGUCACCGAAGAUGGAAAAGUAGCGAGAGCAGCUGGUGCCGGUCCUGUCUUAGGCGACUGGGGUAGUGGCUAUGGCAUUGCUGCACAGGCCCUCACAGCAGUAAUAAAAGCACAUGAUGGCCGUGGACCACAAACUAAUCUUACAAGAGAUAUCAUUAGGAAGCUUGAAAUUUCUUCACCAGAUGAGUUGAUUGGGUGGGCAUAUGCGGAUCCAUCUUGGGCCCGUAUUGCAGCUCUUGUACCUGUUGUGGUAUCUGCUGCUGAAGAUGGUGACAAAGUAGCAAACACGAUACUGCAUGAUGCAGUGCAAGAGUUGGCUGAAAGCGUUGUAGCUGUUGUUCGGCGCCUUACAUUGUGUGGUGAAGAUGGGAAAGACCAAUUUCCACUUGUAUUGGUUGGAGGUGUCCUUGAAGGAAAUAAGAAAUGGGACAUCAGUGGUGAGGUCAUAAAAUGCAUUUCCAAAGUCUUCCCAGGUGUCUGUCCUAUUCGGCCCGAGGUCAGUAUGAGAACUAAUAUACGCUGUUAUGAAGUCUAUCUUAUUAGCCAUUGCAAUUCUCUGGAGAUUGAACAUUCUGAGGCUUUGGACAGUUUGGUGGAACCUGCAAUUGGUGCGGCGUUGCUAGCUUGGAGCCAUCUUCGUAAAGAGUCAAAGCUGCAAAAUGGCAGCUGA